ACUCUGUAGAUUCUAUUGACUUCAAUUGUCGGACCUUCCUUAAUCCACCCAACUUUAACAUAUUCAGUGUAAGAUUUAUCUAGGCACUCUGUAGAUUCUAUUGACUUCAAUUAUCGGACCUUCCUUAAUCCACCCAACUUUGUAUGGCAAAGGGUGAGACUGCGUAGGCAACUGUAGCUUCUCCACCAAUUGCUUAGUUAUCAAAUUCUCACAACUGCAACUAUCAAUAAUUAACCUGCAAAUUGCUUCUCUCACUUGACUCUUCGCUUGAAAAAUCUUCCUUCUUUGCAUCUCAUCCUCCUGUUUUGUCGAGCAUAAAAUUUUC
rnacentral:lncRNA from 1 species